rnacentral:rRNA from 1 species
GACGUAGGGCGCGAGCGUUGUCCGGAUUUAUUGGGCGUAAAGAGCGUGUAGGCGGUCCGGUAAGUCAGCUGUGAAAGUCAAGGGCUCAACCCUUGAAUGCCGGUUGAUACUGUCGGGCUAGAGUCCGGAAGAGGCGAGUGGAAUUCCCGGUGUAGCGGUGAAAUGCGCAGAUAUCGGGAGGAACACCAAUGGCGAAGGCAGCUCGCUGGGACGGUACUGACGCUGAGGCGCGAAAGCUAGGGGAGCAAACGGG